AUACUUACCUGGAUGGGGUCAAUGGAUUAUCAUGAAGGUCUAUGGCCUAGGUUGGUGACCUCCAUUGCACAAAGGAGGGGUGCCCGCCUAAGAUGUCCUCAAGUAGGACAGUCUACAUCAUAAUUUGUGGCAGAGGGGGCCUGCGUUCGCGCGGCCCCUAC
rfam:Cicer arietinum chromosome Ca7, whole genome shotgun sequence.